GGCAUAGGCACAGGUCAGAAGCUUUACCUGAAGCCUCAGGUGGUGUCAGGGGUUCCCCUGUGGACCCCGGUAGAGCCUCUCAUAUUAGAGGCUGUAAGAGAAGAAUAACUAGUUCUGUCAUUAACAGUUGUCGAGUGUGUCCUCGUGGUGUGGAGCAACUGUGUCAGCAGACCACAUUAUGGAAAUUAUGCUUUACAAAAACCAACAGGGACAGUAGAAGAUGUAAUGUCUUGUCAUGGCUGUUCUGUAGCCUGGAGUUUCAUCCCAUUCUACUGCUCGGUUGACCAUCAACCUCAUCCUUAGGAGUGAUCUAAGAAUAAAGAAUGUAGUUUUUCUGUUCAUGCCAUAACCUUCUGUCUCAGCAAAGAGCCGGGGAGAGUGGGACCCUGCCCUUGAUUUCAGAGUCCUCUUCAGUGAUUGAUUGGCUCCUACGGGGGUGGGGCCUCUGCCCAGCUGGACGUCCUCAUUCAUCCUGACUGCAGCCUGUCUUCACAUGAGUCAGACAUGCAGGGUAGGAUCGGAAGGAGCUAUUCUGGGGUUUGUAUGCUACCAGCCCGGCUCAGACUCAGCCCUUGGGAAAGAUAACCACCAUCUGCUCUAACCGUGUAGACGUACCUGGUUUUCUCUGUUACAAUAAAAUUACUACAGAC
rnacentral:lncRNA from 1 species